GGGACAGAGCAAAGACAUGUUUUCCCUAGGUCUUCAGAGGAGCAGUUCCUUUGGAAAGUACCAAUCAAGAAAUGGUUCCCAGGAGAACACUUCAGAAGACUUCCUUGCACUGACAUCAUGGAAGUUGUCUGGGGAUGCAACAAUCAGAGGCUUCUCCAUACCAUCUCAUACCACUAGGCUCCUGGAGACUGUAUUAGGACACAGAUGCAUGACUGGAACCAGAGCUCCCAUUGAGAGACUGGACAAAGUCUUUUUGGAUGUGUGCUGCUACAAACUGAAUCGUUUGCUAUCUGGAGCCCCGUGGUGUGAGCAAACUGGCAGGUGAUCUUUCAGCUUACGCAAAACAUUAAGGCACUUUGUCUAAGCCUCGGAGCUUUCUUGAGGAUCAAGUGCAAGCAUGCUCCAUGCUUUAGCAUAUCCUGUGAGUCCACUUAGGGAAGUUCCCACAUGCCACUUGGCUGAAGCAUGGAAACCAGAUGUCCAUGCCUUGGAUCUCUGUAACCAAAGGGAUGACACAGUGAGGUCAGUAAUGAAUUCCCACCGGGAUUCCAGAUGGAGUCAGCAUGUUUGAUCUGCAUAGCGCAUCCAGGGUUCACGUGUGGAGAUGCUGAUUCCCUCUGGAUGCAGGUGCUUGAGAGCCAGCUCCUCCAAGGGAGAAGGGAACUCGUUAUCAUUAACUGUGCUUAGUGAGCGGUCCGACUCCUUGGGUGGAAAUGCUCCCUUCUGCACAAAGCAGUUCUGUUACUACGUUGUGUCACCGUGUACCCAAAUAUCUACUUGAUGUCAGUGCUAAAACAUUGGCUGCACUUGAUACGACCAUAACUGGGGGUCCGAGCUGUUGUUUAGAACGCCUCAAAGACUGAAGACCUUGAAAAUUACAGUACCACAGCAUUUCUGCUACCUCAAGGCCAAAUCCCAAAUCAGAAACCCCGAACAGGGUCAGUUCAGCAAAAAGAUGAGCCCUGUGGAUGGAAGGACACCGAGCUGGCAGCAAAACCAGACUGUAUGAGCUGACCCUGUUCAGUGCAAACAGCUCAUAUUGGUGGGAUGGCUGGAGGCACCCCAAGUGUGCUGCACUGGCUGCAGUGGGGUUGCAGAGCUGGGAGAAAAAGCAGAGGAGCUGCCAGUGACUGCUUGGAUGUACGGUGUGUGCAUGGAGGAAGCAUGAGCCAUUGCACCAGCUAUUUGGCAGUUGAGGAGCACAUCAGGCCUUCUCUGAAAUGUGAGUUAUACCGUUUCUCAAAACUGCAUGUAGCAAGAAAUGACUGGGAGGCCAGCGAUUCAUUCUGGGUUAAUGUAAAGGUACCAGAGGGGCUAAUAUAAAGGAAGAAAAUUGAUACUGGCUUUGCAGUGCUUGUGGUGCAAAAAUGUGUACGGAUGUUUCCCAGGGAAAGAGUGGAACAAUCCAGUGUGAUAUUAAAAACAAAAUAUACCCACCCAACAACAAACAAACAGCCAUGGGGACAUAGGGGCUGGUAACAGCGCCUGGAUAUCUGUAAAUCAG